rnacentral:hammerhead_ribozyme from 1 species
AUCCAUCUGACGAGUUCUAAAGAGGACGAAACCCAUGUCCUGGAU